UUCAGAAUAGCUUAAUAUAGAAAGCAUUGAUUUUGUAAUUCAAAGAUAUAAUAUUAUUUCUGAAU
rnacentral:tRNA from 1 species